rnacentral:rRNA from 1 species
CCUACGGGGUGCAGCAGUGAGGAAUAUUGGUCAAUGGACGAGAGUCUGAACCAGCCAAGUAGCGUGAAGGAUGACUGCCCUAUGGGUUGUAAACUUCUUUUAUAUGGGAAUAAAAUGUUCCACGUGUGGGAUUUUGUAUGUACCAUAUGAAUAAGGAUCGGCUAACUCCGUGCCAGCAGCCGCGGUAAUACGGAGGAUCCGAGCGUUAUCCGGAGUUAUUGGGUUUAAAGGGAGCGUAGGUGGAUUGUUAAGUCAGUUGUGAAAGUUUGCGGCUCAACCGUAAAAUUGCAGUUGAAACUGGCAGUCUUGAGUACAGUAGAGGUGGGCGGAAUUCGUGGUGUAGCGGUGAAAUGCUUAGAUAUCACGAAGAACUCCGAUUGCGAAGGCAGUUCACUGGACUGCAACUGACACUGAGGCUCGAAAGUGUGGGUAUCAAACAGGAUUAGAUACCCCAGUAGUC